rnacentral:rRNA from 1 species
AGAUUGAACGCUGGCGGCAGGCCUAACACAUGCAAGUCGAGCGGUAGCACAGAGAGCUUGCUCUCGGGUGACGAGCGGCGGACGGGUGAGUAAUGUCUGGGAAACUGCCUGAUGGAGGGGGAUAACUACUGGAAACGGUAGCUAAUACCGCAUAAUGUCGCAAGACCAAAGUGGGGGACCUUCGGGCCUCAUGCCAUCAGAUGUGCCCAGAUGGGAUUAGCUAGUAGGUGGGGUAACGGCUCACCUAGGCGACGAUCCCUAGCUGGUCUGAGAGGAUGACCAGCCACACUGGAACUGAGACACGGUCCAGACUCCUACGGGAGGCAGCAGUGGGGAAUAUUGCACAAUGGGCGCAAGCCUGAUGCAGCCAUGCCGCGUGUGUGAAGAAGGCCUUCGGGUUGUAAAGCACUUUCAGCGGGGAGGAAGGCGGUAAGGUUAAUAACCUCAUCGAUUGACGUUACCCGCAGAAGAAGCACCGGCUAACUCCGUGCCAGCAGCCGCGGUAAUACGGAGGGUGCAAGCGUUAAUCGGAAUUACUGGGCGUAAAGCGCACGCAGGCGGUCUGUCAAGUCGGAUGUGAAAUCCCCGGGCUCAACCUGGGAACUGCAUUCGAAACUGGCAGGCUAGAGUCUUGUAGAGGGGGGUAGAAUUCCAGGUGUAGCGGUGAAAUGCGUAGAGAUCUGGAGGAAUACCGGUGGCGAAGGCGGCCCCCUGGACAAAGACUGACGCUCAGGUGCGAAAGCGUGGGGAGCAAACAGGAUUAGAUACCCUGGUAGUCCACGCCGUAAACGAUGUCGAUUUGGAGGUUGUGCCCUUGAGGCGUGGCUUCCGGAGCUAACGCGUUAAAUCGACCGCCUGGGGAGUACGGCCGCAAGGUUAAAACUCAAAUGAAUUGACGGGGGCCCGCACAAGCGGUGGAGCAUGUGGUUUAAUUCGAUGCAACGCGAAGAACCUUACCUGGUCUUGACAUCCACAGAACUUUCCAGAGAUGGAUUGGUGCCUUCGGGAACUGUGAGACAGGUGCUGCAUGGCUGUCGUCAGCUCGUGUUGUGAAAUGUUGGGUUAAGUCCCGCAACGAGCGCAACCCUUAUCCUUUGUUGCCAGCGGUCCGGCCGGGAACUCAAAGGAGACUGCCAGUGAUAAACUGGAGGAAGGUGGGGAUGACGUCAAGUCAUCAUGGCCCUUACGACCAGGGCUACACACGUGCUACAAUGGCAUAUACAAAGAGAAGCGACCUCGCGAGAGCAAGCGGACCUCAUAAAGUAUGUCGUAGUCCGGAUUGGAGUCUGCAACUCGACUCCAUGAAGUCGGAAUCGCUAGUAAUCGUAGAUCAGAAUGCUACGGUGAAUACGUUCCCGGGCCUUGUACACACCGCCCGUCACACCAUGGGAGUGGGUUGCAAAAGAAGUAGGUAGCUUAACCUUCGGGAGGGCGCUUACCACUUUGUGAUUCAUGACUGGGGUGAAGUCGUAACAAGGUAACCGUA